AUGUUAACUAGUUUGGGAAUUAAUGUCAACUGUGUCAUUGCAAUUUAAUUUUUUUUGUGGGAUUGUCCCUUAGCCAUAGUGUAAUAUGUAGUCUUACUGCAGAGGCUUGAAAAUACAGAAAUACUCAGCAGAUAACUGUGUUAUGUGUAUAUCAUGAACCUUUCCAUUAUAAAGUUUUUAUUUCAUGCUAUUAAUGAUAAUUUUGGAUUACCAGCUCUGUUGGAAUAUUUUUGGAAUGCAAACUGACAACUUCUUGCAGGAUAUCUAUCAGACCUAGGGGCAAGUAGGCAGAUUUCUUUAUGUGAAAUGUAAGUUUGUUUGUGAUAAUGAAUUUCACUGAAAUUUUGUGCUUUUACCUUCAGGAGUCUAUCAUAAGCUUAGGAGUGUGUUACCUUUGACUGUAGCUCCUUUUAAAAAGGACAGCAGGAUGAGAUGUGUCUGGUGGUAUGAAGUUCUGCUGAGUUUCCAAUUCUAGAUAUUUUAAUCACUUCACCAGUUUAUAUAUUCACUGUGGAUGAAAGAUGUCUCGGCUGCGACAUGCUGAUGAAUAUGAAAGGAAGUGUAGUGUGCUUAGUCACAGGAGGGUUUGUGUGGGUUUCAGUAGUACUCCAAACAGAUGUGAGCUGAAGUUAAGGGAGAAACAAACAGCUGUUUUGAUUUCUCUUCUCCUCUCUGAUUCACCCACUAGAGGUGAACCUCCCACCUUACUUUAUGGUGCUUUUUGAACAUUGGCAUCCUUAUAUGCAUUACGAUGGAUGUUACAUACCUGCUGAUAGGAGAACUGGAAUGGUGACUUAAAAAAUGGAAGCAGUUUAGCUGUUACACAGCUCUGUUUCCUGUAGAUACCAAGGUGAUUUGAAGAAAAACCACAAUCCUUGUUUUACUGCCAGAGAGGACAAAAUAAGAGGUAUAAAGCAGUUAUACCAAAUUCAUCUAGGAAGUCAGUGGCAAAAAGGGGUAUUAAACCCACUGCCUCCUCCAUUACUAUGUCUGUCUUAUAUCUUUGAAGGAAUAAAGGACAGAAGAAGAGGUGUUCUCUCUGAAAUACCCAGGUUGACCUGAAUUGGCAGGUGUUUUCCAUCUGUCAGGGAGAGACAUCCAUUCCUGCUCUCCUAGGCUUCCUCUUUGGAGGUAGCAUAUUACUUAUAGUAGGUAUAGGAAACAUAUUAAGCUAAGUAAGAAGAUCAGCUUUUUCUCCUUAAAGUGGUUGUCAGCAUAAGUGUUCAGUCAUGACUAGCAGUAUCUGCUGCAGGUUAAAUUUUAGCUGGCAGCUAAAAUCUCAACUAAACAUCACCAACUAUGCUGGUGGUGCCCCCUUGAGGCAGGGGAAGGGUUCAGUUCUGAGCACAGAACAGUCCUACUGAGUUCAUCUUCACAGUCAGAAGCACACAGUUGCGGACCACUGUGUAUCAGAGGAUGCUUGUAUUGUGCCUUGGGUGAUUUGCAGUGUAUGAUGUACCAGGCUGUGUAAUAGCUGAAGAUGCAUUGUAUCCAAGGUCUAGGAAAAUAAACUUUACAUCUGGUGUCACCUGAAUUGGAUUCCGCUUUUCUGAGGAACUAGAUUUUGGUGGGACAUCGUGAUGUGCUUCUGGUUAUAAAUACUUACAAAAAGAUGUUUGCAAGCAUGAGGAGGAGCCAGAAGAAUAGAAGGAAACAUGGCUAGAAUCCAAGGCGAGACUGGCAAAGCAAGCUGAUGGCAGCAGAACAGAAGAAUAGAAAGGGAAGGAUCAUCUGCUGAAGGUGUGGAAAAACAGAAAGUCUUCACAACUCAAAUGUGGUGGUACCAAGGCGUGUGAUUUUUUUUUAAAUUUUUUUUUUUUAACUGGAAGAGAAGCAGUUGCGCUUCAGAUUCUGCUGAGAGAGUUCAAUAUGAAGCUGCAGAGAAAAGCAAAAAUGACUUGAGAAACUGAAAUGGAAGAUGAAGCGUAGCCAAUAAAUAUGUACAUGUGCAUCAAAGAGAAACGGAGAAUGCAAUUCACUUGGUGUGCUGUGUGUUUGCUGCAUUUGGCAGUGCACAUGGAAAAGGAGGACAAGUAACCUGGCUUAAACUGCAAGCCAUAAAAACUUUAACUUCCAAAGACUUUCCCUGUUUUAAAGAACAGCAAGUUAUUUCCUUAUUUUCUAUUUCUUUUAUGCUCCCUUUACUUCCCUUUGCUGAAUUUCUGUUGUCUUCUUUCUGUCAAAUGGCAGAUAUUUGCACAAUUUCUGUUUGUUUGGUCCUGCUGUAUAAAAAUACUGGCAUUUUAAAGAAAAAUGGCGGCUUAGGGGGUACACAAAUAUCUUGCAGCUCCCUUCGAUAGUAUUUAAUUCUGAUAUAAAGGUAAUAUGCUUUGCAGUGUUUCUAAAAGUCACCCUACCACUCAAGAGUAGUGAUAACAGAUAUGUGACAGCGCAAUUGCCAUCAAACCUGCCCAGGUCAAGUGAACCUGUAUUGUUAAGGAUACUGUACUAAUCAAAUAAAUGCUGGACAGAUUGCUAUAAUACUUUGUCAUCAUCUGUUACUGGCACCUAAAAUGUAUUUUACACUUUUAUUGUUAACUUUGAAUAUGUGGAGGAAUCUUACCUUGAGAGAUAGGGGCUUCUUCUGCAGGGGUACAUGAAAGCUAUGCUAAGUAUUCUUACCCCAAUGCUUUCAGCAGCUGGGAGGAAUACCCCUUUUGGCAUUAAUUCUUCCUUUUCCCAUUCCUUGUUUCAGAAAAGUACUGAAAUAAUUGCGUGUGUGUUAUACUUCUGUAGAAAUCCUCCAGUGUGGAUUACCAGCUCCUCAGGUUUCAUGCACUAUUAACUUUUUAAUUGGGAGAUUUUUGUGUUCCUUAAAUAAAUUACUGGAAUUGCAGAGUUCUGCUGUAAUACCAGGUAUUUUUUAGAAAAGAAAUUACUAAAGACUACUACUUCAGAACUUUCCGGCCAAUUACUGAAAUUUCAGACUCCCAUCUGAGAACAUUAUCCUGUCACAGCAUAGCAUUUACAGAACCACCUCACUUUUUCAAUGAGAUUAUAGCCUUGGUAUCAAUAGGCUUUAGAAUUCAUUGUGAUUGUAACUGAAAGAUGGGAUUUGUCUGCUGUAUGAGAUGACUGAGAAUUAAAACGUCUAAGAUAGAACCAUUCGCCUUAAACUCUUUCUAGUCUGAAAGAAGCCGGUGGCUACUGCUGUGCCUGCACUACAGAAAUGAAAUAAGGCAAAAAAACAGACAAAUAAACCAAAUUAUAUUUAUUGGCUGUAUUGGUUGCUGCAGUUAAAGCUAAGCUUAAUGAAAUUUUAACAUGUUUGAUAAUUGUAGUAAGUAAAUGUAAAGCAAAUUUUUGUUUCUUAUGAUCAGUUAUGUUUCCACUUACCCCUUUUAUUUUGUGGUGGAGAUUUAAAUUCUCUUCCCCAUCUUGCCUUCAUUGAAAAUAGCUUGUAUUUGUCUCACACUUCAAUUCCUUCUCCCUGUUCCUUUUACACAUCAUUAAUACCUGAGUUUUGGUUUAGUAAUUUUCUUGAUACACUGAUAUCAACGAGAGAGAAAUGGCAGAAUAAAAUUAUUUUUAUUUGUAUUGUAGACGAUGGCAACAGCAUGUAGCUAGAAGGAUAUAACUAAUAAAAAGUAUAACUAAUUGGAUAAUUUAAAAGUGACAAGGGAAAACUGCUUUUCAUCUUCAAUAUGAAAUUAAAAUACUUGUCAACAAAACUUCUGCAGGUCUGUUGAAAGUAUUUCAGUUCCUAUUUUGAGUGUAUAUGUAAAGAAAAAUGACUUGGAGAUCAUCACUGAAAUAGAAGGGAGUUUAGCUGGAGAUUCAGUGGGCUAAUCUUAUGUAUGUUAGGAAAUUAGAAUUAUGAUAGUAAUUCCCUGCUAUGAAUUAGGAAACAAAAUCAUAAUGGAAAACAGUUUUACAAGGGAUCGAUUGAAACUCUAAUUGCCUUUUUUAAAGGAAUCUGUACUCCUUAAAAUCAACAGGAUUUAUUCAAGGUUUUAGUUCUUUUAAAGAAUCUUCUUUUUAAAUUGGAUGCAGAUUGCUUGAAUUUAUCCAGUAGCAAUGUUGGGUCAUAUCUGCUGAUUAUCCUUUCAGAGACACAAGGUAGUUUUUGAGUGGGGGGAGAAAAAGUGUUGGUUUUCUUGAUUUCUGGCAGAUGUUAUAUUAAUUUAAACUGUUACUUAGUUUUAAAAUUUUUUUAACUUCAUUAUGAGAUAAUUUUCUGUUUAGUUGCUUUUCAGAGCAUAUUUUUACAGGAACAUUUUUUUCCACACUUAAUAUGGAAAACAUUGUGUUUAUUAUAGUUGGAGAUGGUUUUUAACUUUAAUAAACCUCAUGCAUUUGACAACA